UACGUAGGCAGCGAGCGUUGUUCGGAUUCAUUGGGCGUAAAGGGUGCGUAGGCGGCGCGGUAAGUCGGGUGUGAAAUCUCGGGGCUUAACUCCGAAACUGCAUUCGAUACUGCCGUGCUUGAGGACUGGAGAGGAGACUGGAAUUUACGGUGUAGCGGUGAAAUGCGUAGAUAUCGUAAGGAAGACCAGUGGCGAAGGCGGGUCUCUGGACAGUUCCUGACACUGAGACACGAAGGCCAGGGGAGCAAACGGG
rnacentral:rRNA from 1 species